rnacentral:rRNA from 2 species
GACGAACCUUGCUAACGUUAUUCGGAAUCACUGGGCUUAAAGGGUGCGUAGGCGGCGCAGCAAGUCGGGUGUGAAAUCCCCCAGCUCAACUGGGGAAUUGCGCCCGAAACUGCUGUGCUAGAGGAAUAUAGAGGUGAGCGGAACUUAGGGUGGAGCGGUGAAAUGCGUUGAUAUCCUAAGGAACACCGGUGGCGAAAGCGGCUCACUGGGUAUUCUCUGACGCUGAGGCACGAAAGCUAGGGGAGCGAACGGG